rnacentral:lncRNA from 1 species
UUCAAUUGGUUUUGAGAAACUAUGGAUGAAUGGUGUUGUUGGGGUUUACAAUUUCAUCUUAUCCACUCUCAUAUAUCUACUCUUCUAAUUUACUUGACUUAUUUAUCUAAUUGCCAUGCAAACUUUCUAGUCUACCCUUAACCCAAUCCCUUGGUGAAAAGAGCCUAUUAUUAAUUACCGGCUUGCUAUCCCUAGCCUCCCCUAGUAACCAAUAAUGCAAUGCGAUCAGAAGCAAAUACAAUUG